GACGAACGCUGGCGGCGUGCUUAACACAUGCAAGUCGAACGGAAAGGCCCUGCUUUUGUGGGGUGCUCGAGUGGCGAACGGGUGAGUAACACGUGAGUAACCUGCCCUUGACUUUGGGAUAACUUCAGGAAACUGGGGCUAAUACCGGAUAGGAGCUCCUGCUGCAUGGUGGGGGUUGGAAAGUUUCGGCGGUUGGGGAUGGACUCGCGGCUUAUCAGCUUGUUGGUGGGGUAGUGGCUUACCAAGGCUGUGACGGGUAGCCGGCCUGAGAGGGUGACCGGCCACAUUGGGACUGAGAUACGGCCCAGACUCGUACGGGAGGCAGCAGUGGGGAAUAUUGCACAAUGGGCGGAAGCCUGAUGCAGCAACGCCGCGUGCGGGAUGACGGCCUUCGGGUUGUAAACCGCUUUCGCCUGUGACGAAGCGUGAGUGACGGUAAUGGGUAAAGAAGCACCGGCUAACUACGUG
rnacentral:rRNA from 1 species